GAGUUUCUAUAUGAAAUUUUGAGUUUUGGACGGUCAAAAUCGAGCUAAGUUUCGUUGAAUCAUUUUCUCUCUGUUCACGGCUCCCGGCGCUCAUGCCGCGCGUCCACGUGUCGACCGUCCGGCGAUCCUUGGCCUCCAAAUGAGCACGUUCUUAUCCAUUCACGGCGCCCGGCUCUCGUUUUCAUUUUUUUUCCACUUCCUUCUCGGGUUGAGCCGAGCGGCGCCGCCGCAGCUCGGGCCUGCCCCGCUGCGCCGGCCACUCCCCGCCGCUUCCCUUCCGAUUGGUCGCGCCCCAAGCCCCCUCACCAUCCCCUCCACCUUCCCCAGCCCGCGGUCAAGCUUCUCCCCGGCCGAAUCGGCCGGAAUCGGCUCACUCACCACCCACCACCAUUGGAGCCGCCCGGAGCUCCUGCUCCCCGUCGACCCCUCCCCUCCAGACCACCUCCGCUCGAGCUGAGCCCCUGAACGGUUUCCUCUCGUCGCGCUGAAGCUUCCCGGCCUAACCCCGCUCGUCCUCCCUCGCCGGAGCGUCGUCGCCGCGGAACACCAUCGCCGCCGGCCGCCUGCUCCCGUCGCCGGCCCUCCUCCGGCCACCUCGGCAUCAACCGAGACCACCCAGAGGUAUGCUAGAUGUGUGACGCGUGGAACUGAAGGGUGAUGUUGGAGCCGAGCCAGAAGAUGGUGUAACGGUGGACGCAUCUAGAAGAUGGAUGGAUGGACCCGAUGCGCAUGACCAAAGGAAGAUGUUCGCCAAGUGAAUAUCAUCUAACCAACACUAACUAAUUCAGUGUUAACCCCAGGCAAGCCCCGGAGCAUAACCCUUAAUUUCAGUAUUUAAUGUUUAUU